CUUUGACCAAGAGUGUGAGUAAGAGGGUAUUGAAAAUUCUCUUAUAUUGUUGGAAGAGAAAGGAAAUGAGUUAUGAGAAUGAGAGGAGGGAAAGUGAUGUUUUUGGUGAGUUGGGGUACAUGGGGUUGGUGAAAAGAGUGAAGAAAGAAGAAGCUUGGUGAUAUGGGAGGAAGAAGAACAUGAAGGAAGAAUUAUGGAAGUGGAAGAAGAAGAUGGGCACACUAUAAAUCACCUAGCAAAGGCAAGGAGAAAAGAUGGAAGCCUUGGAGUUGGAGUUGAGAAGGAGAACAAAAUGAAGUAGAGUUAUGGGUUGAGUUGGAAAAGGUAGAAAUGAAGAAAAGG
rnacentral:lncRNA from 1 species